UACGUAGGGGGCAAGCGUUGUCCGGAAUUAUUGGGCGUAAAGAGCUCGUAGGCGGCUUGUCGCGUCGGCUGUGAAAACCCGCGGCUCAACUGUGGGCGGGCAGCUGAUACGGGCAGGCUGGAGUUCGGUAGGGGAGACUGGAAUUCCUGGUGUAGCGGUGAAAUGCGCAGAUAUCAGGAGGAACACCGGUGGCGAAGGCGGGUCUCUGGGCCGAUACUGACGCUGAGGAGCGAAAGCGUGGGGAGCGAACAGG
rnacentral:rRNA from 1 species